rnacentral:rRNA from 1 species
GACUAACGCUGGCGGCGUGCCUAACACAUGCAAGUCGAACGAAGCAGCAAUGCUUAGUGGCAGACGGGUGAGUAACGCGUAGAUAAUGUGCCCUCUUGCGGGGGAUACCGUUUCGAAAGGAACGUUAAUACCGCAUAACACCUUCGGUGGGCAUCCAUCGAGGGUCAAACUUCCGGGGCGGGAGGAGCAAUCUGCGUUCUAUCAGGUAGUUGGUGAGGUAACGGCUCACCAAGCCUACGACGGAUAACUGGUCUGAGAGGAUGAUCAGUCACACUGGAACUGAGACACGGUCCAGACUCCUACGGGAGGCAGCAGUGAGGAAUAUUGCGCAAUGGGCGAAAGCCUGACGCAGCGACGCCGCGUGGAGGAUGAAGGCCUUCGGGUUGUAAACUCCUGUCAGUGGGAAGAGAAUGGACGGUACCCACUGAGGAAGCUUCGGCUAACUACGUGCCAGCAGCCGCGGUAAU